AUUGAACGCUGGCGGCAGGCUUAACACAUGCAAGUCGAGCGGGGUGAUGGUGCUUGCACUAUCACUUAGCGGCGGACGGGUGAGUAAUGCUUAGGAAUCUGCCUAUUAGUGGGGGACAACAUCUCGAAAGGGAUGCUAAUACCGCAUACGUCCUACGGGAGAAAGCAGGGGAUCACUUGUGACCUUGCGCUAAUAGAUGAGCCUAAGUCGGAUUAGCUAGUUGGUGGGGUAAAGGCCUACCAAGGCGACGAUCUGUAGCGGGUCUGAGAGGAUGAGCCGCACCACUGGGACUGAGACACGGCCCAGACUCCUACGGGAGGCAGCAGUGGGGAAUAUUGGACAAUGGGGGGAACCCUGAUCCAGCCAUGCCGCGUGUGUGAAGAAGGCCUUAUGGUUGUAAAGCACUUUAAGCGAGGAGGAGGCUCUUUUGGUUAAUACCCAAGAUGAGUGGACGUUACUCGCAGAAUAAGCACCGGCUAACUCUGUGCCAGCAGCCGCCGCGG
rnacentral:rRNA from 1 species